UGAUGGGCUAUGCUUUUGGCCAAGAGUUUUUUUUGCUCAAAGUGGUGGGUUUGAGCUGCCUCAAAUUUUUGCGAAUAUGAAAGCUCAGGUUCCGCCAUAGGCGGUUGCACCUGCUCCACGGGCGGCUGCGCCUAAAUGAGUUAAGGCGAUGAUCAAUAGCUGGUCCGAGAGGAUGAUCAUCCACACUGGGACAGAGACACGGCUCAAAACUCCUGCGCGAGGCAGCAGUGGGGAAUUUUCUGCAAUGGGCAAAAGCCUGACGGAUCAAUUCCAUGUGGAGGUGGAAGUCCUACAGGUCAUCAAUUUUUUUUCUUGGAGAAGAAACAAUGACGAUAUCUGAGGAAUAAGCAUUGGCUAACUCUGUAUCGAUAACCCACAAGUAUAGGGGAUAGCAA
rnacentral:ncRNA from 1 species